rnacentral:rRNA from 1 species
UACGAAGGGUGCAAGCGUUAAUCAGAAUUACUGGGCGUAAAGGGUGCGUAGGCGGUUAUUUAAGUCUGCCGUGAAAUCCCCGGGCUCAACCUGGGAAUGGCGGUGGAUACUGGAUAGCUAGAGUGUGUCAGAGGAUGGUGGAAUUCCCGGUGUAGCGGUGAAAUGCGUAGAGAUCGGGAGGAACAUCAGUGGCGAAGGCGGCCAUCUGGGACAACACUGACGCUGAAGCACGAAAGCGUGGGGAGCAAACAGG